AUUUUCUCACCCCUCCUGGGUGGUAUGUUUAUUCCUCCUUCUUGGGUCCUCUACCAGAGGCCUGGGAGUUUGAGGGUUCUUUGCAGAAUCUUAGCUGUUCCUAGAACUGCACUCUUCUAGACAGCAAUCUCAGAUGUCCCACCUGGAAUCUGUUGAAGCUACUCCCCCAACUUGGGAGUCACAGCUCCGAGUGCUCCUAUCACAACUGGAACUACUACUGCCUUCACUUUCCACAUCCUUUCUAGUUCUUCUUUCAGUCCUUGGUAUUUGUCCACCUUCUCAUGUUCCUUCUUCUUGAUGUUAUAGUCACUGGGUAUUGCUACAUCCACCACGACUGCAGUCUUCCAUUCCUUGUCUACCACCACGAUGUCUGGUUGGUUGGCCAGCACUUGUUUUUCUGUCUGGAUCUUGAAGUCCCACAGGAUCUUAGCCCUGUCAUUCUUAACUACCCUUUGUGGUAUUUCCCAUCUGGACUUAGGCAG